AGGCCUGGCUUGGCUGCUCCUGAUGUCUCUGCAAAUGGUGGUUAUUAUUAUUGGUGCCUUCUGCAGGGUGUGAGCUGGUUCAGGGAGGGGGGGGCCCUCCAGGACCCGCGGGGAGGCUGCACACGGACUCUUGGACACACCCGGGUGUCCCAGGGAAGGGCCCAGGCUGGGGCGGACCUGGAGCCUCACUCCCUCCUCACAGGCCUGACUACUGGGGGGAUGGGGCGGUGGGGGAGCUUCAAUGUUUGAUGACUCAGUUCCAGCUUUUUUAUUUCGGAGAGUCUGCUGAGGCGGGAGCGGGGCUGGAUUACCAUGAAGUGCUCCUAAUUUGCACAGAGAGAUAAGGAGCUCAUCAUCACGGAGAGAGGGGGACUGUUAUUUCCAAGCAGCUGCUGCGAGCUGGUCCUAGAUGAACAAACUGAGGCCCAAGAGGACUUGGGGGCACACAGAACAGGAAUGGUUGGGAAGGGAUUGGAAGCAAGUCUGGCUGACGGCGGCUCCCUGGCUCUGGACCACUGGGGAUGCCCGUGGGUCUAUCUGCUCUGGGGAAGAGCCGUGAGCAAGGGCAAACGUGCUGCUGGCCUGCUCAGACCUUCAGCAACCUGGGGCAGUCCUCGUCACGGUCUGGACUGUGAUGCCGAGUGUGAACUCAUCACAUCUCCCGGAGGACUUUGGAGAGACUCUCAACGGACAAGUGACAACGCCAAGAACCAACAACAGCAGAGGCGAUUUUCAUGUCACGACGCAAACAUGCAGCCUAGAUUCUGGAAACAGAUACUCACGAAGGAAGAAAUGUUAGUGAAGAUUGAAGAAGUACGACGCUGGACAAGAAGGCGCAUCCACGAGCAAAGAGAAAUGUAGAAUUCUAUGGCCGAAGGACUUGAAGACGAGUGCGAAGGUACAAGCCACAAGAUAAAAACAGUUAUUGGCACAGCAUUGCUGUGAAUCUGUAUGUACCUUAAAUGUGUUCAAAUACUUUGCAUUCUGCAAUAAAGUCUUUUAAGAAUU